rnacentral:rRNA from 1 species
GGACUGCGCGAUCAGGCUCGUUGCUGGAGCUAAUGACCCACCUAACCUGUACCGGUACGGGCCUUGAGAGUAGUGCGCCGGGAAGAUGACAUUGAGAGAAGGGUUCGAGGUCCUACGGGCGCAGCAGGCGCGUAGCCUUCGCAAUGCGUGAAAGCGUGACGAGGUUAAUCCGAGUGGUUCACGCUGAGGGAAUCUUUUGUUGGCUCUAAAAUGUCCAGUGAAUAAGGGGAGGGCAAGUCUGGUGUCAGCCGCCGCGGUAAUACCAGCUCCUCGAGUGGUCGGGGCGAUUAUUGGGCCUAAAGCAUCCGUAGCAUAUUCUGUAGGUCUUCUGUUAAAUCCAACGGCUUAACCGUUGGCAUGCAGAAGAUACCGCAGGACUAGGAGGCGGGAGAGGUGGACGGUACUCCACGUGUAGGGGUAAAAUCCUUUGAUCCGUGGAAGACCACCAGUGGCGAAGGCGGUCCACCAGAACGCGCUCGACGGUGAGGGAUGAAAGCUGGGGGAGCGAACCGGAUUAGAUACCCGGGUAGUCCCAGCCGUAAACGAUGCGAGCUAGAUGAUCCAAUCGCAAAUCGCGAUUGGAGUGUCGCAGGGAAGCCG